rnacentral:rRNA from 1 species
UACGUAGGUGGCAAGCGUUGUCCGGAUUUAUUGGGUUUAAAGGGUGCGUAGGCGGUCUUCUAAGUCAGUUGUGAAAUACUUCAGCUUAACUGGAGAGGUGCAAUUGAUACUGGAAGACUUGAGUACUGAUGAGGUAGGCGGAAUGGACGGUGUAGCGGUGAAAUGCUUAGAUAUCGUCCAGAACACCGAUAGCGAAGGCAGCUUACUAAGGAGUAACUGACGCUGAGGAGCGAAAGCGUGGGGAGCGAACAGG